rnacentral:rRNA from 1 species
AAAACUUUCAACAACGGAUCUCUUGGCUCUGGCAUCGAUGAAGAACGCAGCGAAAUGCGAUAAGUAAUGUGAAUUGCAGAAUCCAGUGAAUCAUCGAAUCUUUGAACGCACAUUGCGCCCGCCAGCAUUCUGGCGGGCAUGCCUGUUCGAGCGUCAUUUC